AUUGAACGCUGGCGGCAUGCUUUACACAUGCAAGUCGAACGGCAGCGGGGACUUCGGUCCGCCGGCGAGUGGCGAACGGGUGAGUAAUGCAUCGGAACGUGCCUAUCAGUGGGGGAUAACGCUUCGAAAGGAGUGCUAAUACCGCAUAUUCUCUGAGGAGGGAAGCAGGGGACCUUCGGGCCUUGCGCUGAUAGAGCGGCCGAUGUCGGAUUAGCUAGUUGGUGAGGUAAAGGCUCACCAAGGCGACGAUCCGUAGCGGGUCUGAGAGGAUGAUCCGCCACACUGGGACUGAGACACGGCCCAGACUCCUACGGGAGGCAGCAGUGGGGAAUUUUGGACAAUGGGCGAAAGCCUGAUCCAGCCAUGCCGCGUGAGUGAAGAAGGCCUUCGGGUUGUAAAGCUCUUUUGUCCGGGAGGAAAUCCUGGCCUCUAAUACAGGUCGGGGAUGACAGUACUGGAAGAAUAAGCACCGGCUAACUACGUGCCAGCCGCCGCUGUAA
rnacentral:rRNA from 1 species